CCAGCUCCAAUAGCGUAUAUUUAAGUUGUUGCAGUUAAAAAGCUCGUAGUUGGAUUUCGGGUGGGUUCCAGCGGUCCGCCUAUGGUGAGUACUGCUGUGGCCUUCCUUUCUGUCGGGGACGGGCUCCUGGGCUUCACUGUCCGGGACUCGGAUUCGACGAUGAUACUUUGAGUAAAUUAGAGUGUUCAAAGCAAGCCUACGCUCUGAAUACUUUAGCAUGGAAUAUCGCGAUAGGACUCUGGCCUAUCUCGUUGGUCUGUAGGACCGGAGUAAUGAUUAAGAGGGACAGUCGGGGGCAUUCGUAUUUCAUUGUCAGAGGUGAAAUUCUUGGAUUUAUGAAAGACGAACUACUGCGAAAGCAUUUGCCAAGGAUGUUUUCAUUAAUCAAGAACGAAAGUUGGGGGCUCGAAGACGAUUAGAUACCGUCGUAGUCUCAACCAUAAACGAUGCCGACUAGGGAUUGGAGGAUGUUCUUUUGAUGACUUCUCCAGCACCUUAUGAGAAAUCAAAGUUUUUGGGUUCCGGGGGGAGUAUGGUCGCAAGGCUGAAACUUAAAGGAAUUGACGGAAGGGCACCACCAGGCGUGGAGCCUGCGGCUUAAUUCGACUCAAC
rnacentral:rRNA from 1 species